rnacentral:rRNA from 1 species
UACGGAGGGUGCAAGCGUUGUCCGGAAUCACUGGGCGUAAAGCGCGCGUAGGCGGCUUUGCAAGUCGAGUGUGAAAUCCCCAGGCUUAACCUGGGAACUGCAUUCGAGACUGCAUGGCUAGAGUAUGGGAGAGGGAAGUGGAAUUUCAGGUGUAGCGGUGAAAUGCGUAGAUAUCAGGAGGAACACCGGUGGCGAAGGCGGGUCUCUGGGCAACUACUGACGCUGAGGAGCGAAAGCGUGGGGAGCGAACAGG